AAAUUCCUGAAGCUCACGUUUUGGUCGCUAUUUAUCCUUACAGAGCAUACACGGGAUGGUCGGGUCGUAGGGUGGCUGUCAAGCCGGAAUAUCCGGAAGGCAAAAACCAUAUGCAGGCAACCCACUUAUCGGAAGAUAAGGUAUGAAUUGCGAUCAGACGGUUCUUCGGGGUUUUC
rnacentral:other from 1 species